rnacentral:rRNA from 1 species
AACGAACGCUGGCGGCAUGCCUAACACAUGCAAGUCGAACGAGACCUUCGGGUCUAGUGGCGCACGGGUGCGUAACGCGUGGGAACCUGCCCUUAGGUUCGGAAUAACUCCCCGAAAGGGGUGCUAAUACCGGAUAAUGUCUUCGGACCAAAGAUUUAUCGCCUUUGGAUGGGCCCGCGUUGGAUUAGCUAGUUGGUAGGGUAAAAGCCUACCAAGGCGACGAUCCAUAGCUGGUCGGAGAGGAUGAUCAGCCACACUGGGACUGAGACACGGCCCAGACUCCUACGGGAGGCAGCAGUGGGGAAUAUUGGACAAUGGGCGAAAGCCUGAUUCAGCAAUGCCGCGUGAGUGAUGAAGGCCUUAGGGUUGUAAAGCUCUUUUACCCGGGAUGAUAAUGACAGUACCGGGAGAAUAAGCUCCGGCUAACUCCGUG